rnacentral:misc_RNA from 1 species
CAACCCUCAGGCCCCCCUUCGCGGGCGGGCCUGGUGUUGGGGCCCGGCCGCUACCCUGCGGCCGUCCCCUAAAUUCAGUGGCGGCCUCGCCGUGAUCCCUUGCGUAGUAAUGCACCUCGCACCGGAGAGCGCCGUGGCCACGCCGUAAAACCCCCAAUUUUCAAU